rnacentral:rRNA from 1 species
GACGAACCGAGCGAACGUUGUUCGGAAUCACUGGGCUUAAAGGGCGCGUAGGCGGGUGCUCAAGUCCGGGGUGAAAUCCUCCAGCUCAACUGGAGAACUGCCUCGGAUACUGGGUGCCUCGAGUGUGGUAGGGGUGUGUGGAACUAUCGGUGGAGCGGUGAAAUGCGUUGAUAUCGAUAGGAACUCCGGUGGCGAAGGCGGCACACUGGACCACAACUGACGCUGAGGCGCGAAAGCCAGGGGAGCAAACGGG